rnacentral:rRNA from 1 species
UGGGGAAUUUUGGACGAAUUGGGGGCAACCGUCGAUCCAGCCAUCCCGCGUGUGCGAUGAAGGCCUUCGGGUUGUAAAGCACUUUUGGCAGGGAAGAAACAGCCUGGGAUAAUACCCGGCGGACUGACGGUACCUGCAGAAUAAGCACCGGCUAACUACGUGCCAGCAGCCGCGGUAAUACGUAGGGUGCAAGCGUUAAUCGGAAUUACUGGGCGUAAAGCGUGCGCAGGCGGUUUCGGAAAGAAAGGUGUGAAAUCCCAGGGCUUAACCUUGGAACUGCACUUUUAACUACCGAGCUAGAGUACGUCAGAGGGGGGUAGAAUUCCACGUGUAGCAGUGAAAUGCGUAGAGAUGUGGAGGAAUACCGAUGGCGAAGGCAGCCCCCUGGGAUGAUACUGACGCUCAUGCACGAAAGCGUGGGGA